AGUGCUUGUAUCACUGCACAGUGCAGUGCACCAUGGCUAGGUAUCCCACUGUCUAACUCGUCACCAUCCAACACGCUAUCUUUUGGGAAAUUUUGGCCAUGCAUGGUGGGACAGAAACAAUUCAUAUAGGGGUGACUCCGUGCAAUGGGUCAAGUUCCCAGGGAGUAACCAUCUCCAUCCCAUGAUGUCAUCUAUAUCCCAUAAUUAUUGUGCCUUUUUUCAAAAUCCCUCACACCCGUGUGGCCCUCCUCACUGUCUGCCAUCUCUGACAGAAGCAUGGAUCCUGCACGGCUCUGCACUGUUGUCAGGAGGGUUGCAAGCACAGGGUGCAUGAUCCUCCAAUAUUUGCAGCACCACAAGAAGAACCGAAAGAGAGGGGAGUGAAGGUUUCAUGUUUCUAAAGAGAGAAAAUGCAGAUAAGGCCUUCUUCAUAUCCAUCAGAAAGAAGCAGUAUAGGUUGCUGGCCUAUUGCUGAACCCCCAACCCAAAGGGCCAGUGAGCUGCUAUUCGUCUGCUCCCUACCCUUUGACUUAUCUGGCUUGAGUAGCCUUACCAGGAGCUAUAUUCCUGCCAGCAGAGCUCCCAGGAUCAUUGGAACACAUAAGUCACCAUGUCAAGGUGCAGUCCCUACAGAAGAUUCGGCUACCUAACAAACAAGAGGGAGUCUACUGACAAAUUGGGAAACUGAGGGACAAAGAAGCGGGGAAACUGAGGCAGCACCUGUUGCUGGAGAGGUCAUCAUUCUAUGGUUCCGCCUAACAUGAACACUUCUAUAGAAAACUAAUCAGUUACAUUUGGGAUUUAUCCCAAAGAAUCAUUGGAUUAAUCCUCACCAGAACUGUCAGGUUGGUCUUGUACAGCGGUGUGAUCAUGAAAGACAGGACUGGGUCGUGUUUGGGUGAAGGCAGUGAAAAGCUGUUUUGUAGGCCCGCCAAAAAUGCUAACACUGUUUUGCCAAAACCGAACAAAACAGUAAAUUAAACAGCUGGCAUUGAGAUGGUUUGGAGUGAAGAAGUGUUUCAGCACUGUGGAUUGCUCUUUAGCUGUCUUGAAUUUUAUUAGGUUCUUUCGAGUUUCUCCGGGAUUUAAGGAAGAAAAGGCAUUGCACAAACGUUGUGUCCAUUUUUGUGCUAUGGAUGCUCCCAUAUACACAUUAUUUUUACAGAUAGGUUACCUGGAGAUUGCAAUUACCUGCAAAUUUCAUUUUCUAUUCAGAUAAAUAUUUCUACAGCAUGCCUCCUAACAUACAAUUAGGAGCAGUGACUCUGCUGCAUAGGGCUUUCACGUUCACAUGGAACACGCACAUGACAAAAAUAUGGGUAAUUUUCAAACGUUAUCAGAGCUUUCACAUAUUAUUUCAUUUGUCAAGUAUCAGAGGGGUAGCCGUGUUAGUCUGAAUCUGUAAAAAGCAAAAGAGGGUCCUGUGGCACCUUU